AGCUCUGCAGGCGCCGCACGGCAGGAGCAAAGCCCUUGAGAUGGUUAAAAACACCCCGCUAAAUAAUUCAAGUGACCUGAGAUGCCUUUCUCUGGGGAAGAGGAGGGGGGGGCUGUGUUGGAGCCGGCAGGCUGGGAGCCUGCAGAGAGUGCUUGGAUGCACCUAUUAAACAUGCAAUCGUGAUGGCUAAAAGCCACGGGCUUUAUGUAUAUAUUAUAUUUUAUAUAGAUAUAUAUGUUUUUUUUAAUUACAGCUUUGGCAAUUGCUUCACAACCAAUAAAUAGCAGCUCAGAGUGCAGGCCCGCAGCUACAGAGCCAGCAGCCCUGACCCGGUGAGACCAUGGCCCUGGGUGCCUGCAGCCCGGGAGAGACCUCUAGGGAAAGGAAAUCCAGGGAAAAAAAGAUGUCAAAGUCCCACUGCCCAGUGUCAUCAUAUUCAAGUUCUGCAGUGACCUGUGCACAACACACACUCUACGAUUCCAAAGGCCCGGAGAUUAGGAUGCCAAGAUUCACCAUGAGAGUAGGUUUUGCCAUUUGAAACACAAACUACGAAAGAAAACAAAAAGAAGAAAAAGUACAACUG